CAAGAUAUUGUGAGAGGGCAGAGGGAGGAGUCAGUUCAGCAGGAGGAGGAAGUUAUACAAGAAAAAGGACAAGAAGAAAAUUUUCCGUUGGAUGAUUUAGUUCAGCAGGAGGAAGAAAAGGAGAAGGAAGUUAUACAACAAGAAGAGGAAUAUGAAGAAAACGAGCUAGUGGAGGAGUCGGUUUAGCAUGAGAGGGAG